CCGACAUGGAUAUCCAGCGAUGUCCCUCGUGGGCGUAUGGGGAGCGUAUCUCUUGAGCUGAGGACGUAUAUUCCGUUCCACAAUGUCGGAGAGAAAGCUCUGUCCCGGCUGUCGUCGGUGAGGACGGAGCGUCCUGCAUAUUCCUACAUCUCCCAGAGUCCUUGGGGGCCGUAAACCAUGCAGUGCACAAAG